CCUACGGGAGGCAGCUGUGAGGAAUAUUGGUCAAUGGUCGGGAGACUGAACCAGCCAAGCCGCGUGAGGGAUGAAGGUACAGAGUAUCGUAAACCUCUUUUGUCAGGGAACAAAGGCGGGGACGUGUCCCCGGAUGAGUGUACCUGAAGAAAAAGCAUCGGCUAACUCCGUGCCAGCAGCCGCGGUAAUACGGAGGAUGCGAGCGUUAUCCGGAUUUAUUGGGUUUAAAGGGUGCACAGGCGGUCUGUUAAGUCAGCGGUAAAAGCCCGGGGCUCAACCCCGGCCCGCCGUUGAAACUGGCAGUCUCGAGUUGGAGAGAAGUAUGCGGAAUGCGCGGUGUAGCGGUGAAAUGCAUAGAUAUCGCGCAGAACUCCGAUUGCGAAGGCAGCAUGCCGGCUCCACACUGACGCUGAGGCACGAAAGCGUGGGUAUCGAACAGGAUUAGAUACCCGAGUAGUC
rnacentral:rRNA from 1 species